GAAGAAAGUUUUCCUAACAUGCAAUCUGACUGUCCCCUGACACAGAUCCAUGUGUUCUCUUGCAGUCAUCAGAGAUCAGCGCCUGCCUCUCUGUCUCUGUCUCCUACUCUCUGGGCUGAGCCAACCAUGUGACCUCAAUGACUCCUAAUACCUCUUGCCCUUUAGACCCUUCACCAUCUUUGUAGCCCUUCUUUGAAGACUCUCAAAUAGUUUUAAAUCCCUCUUAUAUCAUAGCGCCCAAAACUGCACACAGUGCUCAAAGUUGAGGUUGCACCAGCACAAAGCAGAGUGAGACAGUCCCUUCCCUCACCCUGCUGGCAGUGCCAGGCCUGAUGCACCCCAGGGUACCAUUGGCCCUUUUGGCUGACAGGGCACACUUCUGAUUCAGAUUCAACUUUCUUCAACCCCCAGAUCCCUUCCUGCAGGACUGCUCUCCAGCCUCUCAUUCACCAGUCUGUACAUACACCCAGGGUUGCCCCAUUCCAGCUCUCAGAAGACUUCAUCUCAUGGGAACCGAUGAGUUUGUUCUCAAUCACUGAAACCAACACUGGGAAUCUUGAGAUGGAGAACACAUGUCAAAAUCUGCCACUAGGUCCUGCAUUCUUCAUUGAUUCAAGAAAGCCAGGUGGAUUCUACACUGCCUCACAGAUCAGAAGAAAAACAUGAGCACAUUAUCGUUACAAAAUCUGUAUUACUGCUAGUAAUGACACAUUAAUAUAUUUGAUUUUUCUUUUCACAGAAUACAUCGGUUUUCAAAUAUAUUUUGAAUCUCCCUUUAGAUUUAAAGUUGAAUAUAUUUGCAUGAGGAAUCAUGAGGUAAAAAUAAGAAAAAAAAACUGUAAAGAAAAACAAACUGAAUAUGUGAAAUCAACUGUAAAAACGUUUCGAGGGUGGAGGUGUAAUAGAAGAGUGCUUGAAUAUUUAUCAGCUGAUUUUACCAAAUGGCCAUUAAAGUCAAGGACCAUCUUAAGAAUCAAAGCAAGGACUUUUUCUGGGAGUGAAAUUAUAUUAUUAUUUUUAAAUAAAGUUUAGUGGUGAUCAACAUAUUUGCUCUUUUAUGAACAUUUAUUUGAUAUAUUUUAGAGAAAGCCACUUCAGCUGUUAAAUAUUGAAUAUUCCAACUUCAGGGUUCACAGAGGCAUAUUUCAUAAUGAAUAUUUGUGUGCUUUUUAUAUGUGAGUCAUCUUGUUUGCACAGCUCCCUAUAAAUCAUCUGAAUGAGUGACAGAAAGGACCAAUUAGAGCUUUUGUGCACUGGGGUAGAAUGGCACUUAGAUGUUUGUGCAAUCUCAUUUCAAUAGUUUCAGGUUCCACAGUUUCCCUGAGGAGAUUAUUUGAGAGCUUACCGCAAUUUAUUCUCAUGAUAGUCAGCUUCAACAUUUCCUUUUCCAAUUGUAUCAUAAUACACUUACAUCCAACAUAAUGUAUUACACAUUUUCUCCUCCUGUGAAGCAAGGUAGGUUCCAUAAAUCCUGCAAUAAAUUGGUCACCUCUUCCUAUGUCCUUGUAAGUCCUUAUUAGAUGAGCUAUAUAACACGAGUGCCUUGACAGCAACAUCAUGGUUAGGGCUCUUUUGUGAUUUGCACAAAAAGUAGCAAUCAGACCUCAAUA
ensembl:lncRNA